GUUGGGUUGUCCUGCUUGGCUGCGGAGGGAGUGGAACCUCGAUAUUGGUGGUGUCCAUCGUGGGCAGCGGACUAAUAAAGGCCAUGGCGCCAGCAGAAAUCCUGAACGGGAAGGAGAUCUCCGCGCAAAUAAGGGCGAGACUGAAAAAUCAAGUCACUCAGUUGAAGGAGCAAGUACCUGGUUUCACACCACGCCUGGCAAUAUUACAGGUA
rnacentral:lncRNA from 1 species